GAUGAACGCUGGCGGCGUGCCUAAUACAUGCAAGUCGAGCGAACAGACGAGGAGCUUGCUCCUCUGACGUUAGCGGCGGACGGGUGAGUAACACGUGGAUAACCUACCUAUAAGACUGGGAUAACUUCGGGAAACCGGAGCUAAUACCGGAUAAUAUAUUGAACCGCAUGGUUCAAUAGUGAAAGACGGUUUUGCUGUCACUUAUAGAUGGAUCCGCGCCGCGUUAGCUAGUUGGUAAGGUAACGGCUUACCAAGGCAACGAUGCGUAGCCGACCUGAGAGGGUGAUCGGCCACACUGGAACUGAGACACGGUCCAGACUCCUACGGGAGGCAGCAGUAGGGAAUCUUCCGCAAUGGGCGAAAGCCUGACGGAGCAACGCCGCGUGAGUGAUGAAGGUCUUCGGAUCGUAAAACUCUGUUAUUAGGGAAGAACAAAUGUGUAAGUAACUAUGCACGUCUUGACGGUACCUAGUCAGAAAGCCACGGCUAACUACGUG
rnacentral:rRNA from 1 species